GGGAACCUACGGGGGGCAGCAGUAGGGAAUCUUCCACAAUGGGCGAAAGCCUGAUGGAGCAACGCCGCGUGGGUGAAGAAGGUCUUCGGAUCGUAAAACCCUGUUGUUAGAGAAGAAAGUGCGUGAGAGUAACUGUUCACAUUUCGACGGUAUCUAACCAGAAAGCCACGGCUAACUACGUGCCAGCAGCCGCGGUAAUACGUAGGUGGCAAGCGUUAUCCGGAUUUAUUGGGCGUAAAGGGAACGCAGGCGGUCUUUUAAGUUUGAUGUGAAAGCUUUGGGCUUAACCGGAGUAGUGAAUUGGG
rnacentral:rRNA from 1 species